rnacentral:misc_RNA from 1 species
CAGAACAAAGACCAGACACGUGACCUCAAGCGCACAGGCAGCGACAAAAGGGAACAACAUCUAGGUCCUAACCUUUAAUUGUAAACUUUUACGAGUCGCCUACCUACAGACGGUCUGGCAACUUUUACAACCAUUCUUAAUGAGCGCUGCCAGAAACAUUACCUUAUCAAUGCCAGUGUAACAUCUAACCCUGUACGUAAUGACGCCAAUCAGAGACCAAUGUGCCCAUUACACGGGUGUCCGUUUCUAAAUGAUGGGCUAAUGAUGAACCUAACUUGCCAUACUCGUGUUUCUGUAUUGUAUUGUUGACCUGUACUCUUUCGUGCACAGAGUAUCGAGCACGCCUUCACACGGAAAAAAAUAUGCUCUACAUAUUUAAUAUCAUCUAACUAUUUAAUAGGCCUGUUGUAUUAGGAUUGCUCUUUCGUAAUAUCUUCAUUAUUACACGCUAGAGGAAAAAUUGAUUGCGUUUUUGAUUAUCAGCGUAUUGCGCCCUGUCAACAGGUUUUUAAAACAGAGAGCAUAGUGAAGCCACGUAAACAGGUGCUACAGAUAAACAGAAAAUAUGAGUGCCGAGGAUGAGAACUGAAUCCACAACACAUAACCCUGGUACGGUACCGCCGUGCCACCGAAUCUCCCCUCCUUUAGAGAGUGAAAACACACAGAGAAAAAGAUUGUUUUAUAUAUAUAUGUUAUGAACAAACUUGUGUACAUGUAUUGGAAUGCUAUUCUGUGUAUCUAUUACAAACCUAUACUGUACAGAGUUGCGAGCCAUUUAGAGGUGAGAUGAGAUCUUAAGGAGCACUCGCGGCACUAACUGCUGUAUACACCUGACAGCCAAAGCUGUGCCACGUUGAAAAAGCAGCAAAGUUUCGUCAACACGUGUUACGCAGCACUUUAUUUUCUGCAGCAGGCCGCCAUUAUGCAAGACACAGCGGCAAGCAAGCAGAUUCGUGCGCGCGUGUUGUGCGGUAAAAUUUAUUAAAAUUAUGGUAGUAGAUAUUUACAAAAGUUUAGACGCUUAUCUAAUAUUUAUCUAAUUUUUAAUUUGUUUAACAUUUAUAGUUAAUUGUAUGGCCCGGUCCGCCGAGCUAUCACGUGACUAACUGUACCACGUGCUCCGUCUUUCGCCUCAACAACGUGCUCGCCAUUGUAAGACGCUGUCGUAUCCUGUUCUGGAGAAAGAACUUGCUGUGCAGUUUGGCUUUAAAUCUUCAUUCAAAUUUUGUCUACCUGCUAAUUCAGUGUAUUUAAUUUUUGUUUGUCGUGAAUUUAUAGAUCCUUUUAUAGAUAUUUCAUAGAUAAGCAAUGUGAUGAUAGACUUCAGCUAUUUGAUAUUGUCUUUUGAAAGUUCUGACAUAUAAUCGUAUGUUAAAUUUUUCUUUUUUAAUCACAGCUGUUUAUAGAGUAUAAUCUUCAUAUCUCAUCUGCAUUUUUUUAAAUAUUAAAUAUAAUUUAGAUAGCAUGGACUAUUCGUACUCAACGAAAAGAAGAAGAAUCAGAGCCAGAGUUAGAGAACAUUUAGAGUAUGCUAGAAAUGCCAUGAAUAACGAGCCACACCAGGAAUCGUGCAACGACCAAGCGGCUUUUAGUCCGCUAAGGGCCAGUACCAUUGGAGAUCAGACCAGUGAAGAUGGCAUGUCUGAGUCAAGCUCCAAUAAUUUGACUAUUUAUUUGCUGACCAGACUUUUGGACAAACUUGAGGAACUCUCCCAAAAAGUAACGCAGAAUACAAUUAUUCUGCAAAAUCUGGCUUCACAGAGUGAUGACCCCAGCAGCCAUUCCGGAUGGGUUAGUGCUUCCCCUGAACUCCGCGGAAGAAAUUAAUGAGCUGGAGGAGGGGUUAAUGGACAAGGAGUUUAGGUCAAAAGUGGUAUGUUAAAUGUUAUGUUGUUAUGAAGUACACUUUUUAGCUACAAUUUCUAACUGUACCCUUAGCAAUAAAUAACAAAUCAAUUGUUAUGUGAUAGUCUUGAUAAAUUAUUCAGAAAGUAUCUAGUGAGUUGCAUGUCUAUUGUCGGUUUCUACAUUCUGGAAAUAAUGUUUUUCUUUUUACAGAUUCAGCACCUUUCCUGCAUUGGGGGGGAUUCUGUGAGCUCCCUUGUGAGAAGAAUUUUAAGAAGGGUGAUAAGCUCAGAGGUUGCAGUUAAAUACAAUUUCAGCGGUGCUAAAGGAAAGAACAGCUUCCACACACUUCAGCUGAGGGGAGUUUUAAUUGGUGCGUGGUUGUUAUUGGACUGCUUUGAUGUGUACCAUAAUCUGUAAAGUUUACAGACUGAUUUUUGUUGUGCAUCCCAGUUUUUUAUUUUCUCUUCAUUUACUUUAUAGAUGCAUCUGUAUUCACAUCCUUCCAUUAUGCUUUCCUUCUGUACACAGCGGCAGUUAGGAGAACCUUUAGCACCGCUUCAGAAGCUGAUAUUGACGGUGUAACUCGGAAGUUUUUUUCUAAUGCCAGAGACAGGGAUGGAGGGAGAGCACGAAGGACAUCUAGUGGGACCCACGACAACUAGGCUGAAUACUUCAAAUACUUUAAAAAGUCACAUUCAAUGAAUAUUAAAACCAUUAUUAUAUUUUGCUUGUUCAUGAUAAUUUGUUUUAAAUAUUGUAAUGAUUUUUGUUUUGUUAGGCUUUCACGACAACUAACCUGAAAACUUUGAAAAGUGUUGUAAAUAAAUAAUAAAACCAAGUUUAUUAUUUGCUUAUAUGUGUGAAUCUGAUAGAUUGUUUUCAAGAUUGUAAUGAUUUUUUUUUUGUCAGGCAUUCUCAACAAAUUCUUUGCUUGUAUAUAUGCAUGUGAUAAUUUGAUUUUUUUGUCAGGCAUUUGCAACACAUUGUUGUCGAUUAAUAUUAAAACCAUGUUUAUCGUUUGCUUGUAUGUAAUAAUAAAUUGUUGAAUCAUAUUCUUUGUCUGCUGGUAUUUAGGGAGAGUAAGAGUGAAUGACAGCACCUUCAUUUAAAUGUCUGAAAGAUGUAAGAUUGUUUUUUAAUGUGCCAAUGGUGCUGAAAGGGAAAUUUGGGACAAGAUGAAGGUUAAGUAGGUUUUGGAGUCGAGCUUCGAAGGGCUGAGAAGAGUUUUUAGGGUGGGGCUGAGAGGUGUUUUGAAGAGUUAGUUCUCCCAAAACCCACAAGGUGCUGAUGCUGAUUACGCUUCCAUCCCCCGUAACUUUCCUUAGCGGCCCCAUUUCUCAGCCCGAAAGGGGCCCUUUCUGGGCUGAUGAACGCUUGCAUGCUGGGGAGUGUUGCUGUAGCUUGAUAACGUACACGAUAAAUGCAACGAUGAUAAGACAACAUUGAAGCCUUGCUAAUGUAUCCACUGCCACACCAAGGCAGCUAAUCAUGUGACA